UACGUAGGGGGCUAGCGUUGUCCGGAUUAUUGGGCGUAAAGCGCGUGUAGGCGGCCAGAUAGGUCUGCUGUGAAAACUCGAGGCUCAACCUCGAGCUGUCGGCGGAAACCAUUUGGCUAGAGUCCGGAAGAGGAGAGUGGAAUUCCCGGUGUAGCGGUGAAAUGCGUAGAUAUUGGGAGGAACACCUGCGGCGAAGGCGGCUACCUGGACAGAACUGACGCUGAGGCGCGAAAGCUAGGGGAGCGAACGGG
rnacentral:rRNA from 1 species